rnacentral:tRNA from 1 species
GUCCCUGUAGUGCAAUGGAUGCACGUUGGAUUUCUAAUCCAAAGGACGUGGGUUCGAAUCCCACCUGGGAUG